rnacentral:rRNA from 1 species
AGAGUUUGAUCCUGGCUCAGGAUGAACGCUAGCGGCAGGCUUAACACAUGCAAGUCGAGGGGCAGCAUGAAAGUAGCAAUACUUUUGAUGGCGACCGGCGGACGGGUGCGUAACGCGUAUGCAACCUACCCUUUACAGGGGGAUAACACUGAGAAAUCGGUACUAAUACCCCAUAAUAUUCUGGGAGGCAUCUUUCGGAGUUGAAAGCUUUGGUGGUAAAGGAUGGGCAUGCGUUGUAUUAGCUAGUUGGUAAGGUAACGGCUUACCAAGGCGACGAUACAUAGGGGGACUGAGAGGUUAACCCCCCACAUUGGUACUGAGACACGGACCAAACUCCUACGGGAGGCAGCAGUGAGGAAUAUUGGUCAAUGGACGGAAGUCUGAACCAGCCAUGCCGCGUGCAGGAAGACGGCUCUAUGAGUUGUAAACUGCUUUUGUACGAGGGUAAACGCAGAUACGUGUAUCUGCCUGAAAGUAUCGUACGAAUAAGGAUCGGCUAACUCCGUGCCAGCAGCCGCGGUAAUACGGAGGAUCCAAGCGUUAUCCGGAUUUAUUGGGUUUAAAGGGUGCGUAGGCGGUUUAGUAAGUCAGCGGUGAAAUUUUGGUGCUUAACACCAAACGUGCCGUUGAUACUGCUGGGCUAGAGAGUAGUUGCGGUAGGCGGAAUGUAUGGUGUAGCGGUGAAAUGCUUAGAGAUCAUACAGAACACCGAUUGCGAAGGCAGCUUACCAAACUAUAUCUGACGUUGAGGCACGAAAGCGUGGGGAGCAAACAGGAUUAGAUACCCUGGUAGUCCACGCAGUAAACGAUGAUAGCUCGUUGUCGGCGAUACACAGUCGGUGACUAAGAGAAAUCGAUAAGCUAUCCACCUGGGGAGUACGUUCGCAAGAAUGAAACUCAAAGGAAUUGACGGGGGCCCGCACAAGCGGAGGAACAUGUGGUUUAAUUCGAUGAUACGCGAGGA